GGUUCAAACCCUGAAGAGAAAGAGUUCCUUGAUUGGAGUAAACGUGUUAUCAUCAUUGAGGGAAUUGGUCGAGGCCUUCUUUACCUUCACAGAGAUUCAAGAUUAAAGAUUAUUCACAGGGAUUUGAAAGCAAGCAACAUUUUGUUGGAUGAACAACUGAACCCGAAAAUUUCAGAUUUUGGCAUGGCAAGGAUUUUUCCAGGCAACCAAGAUCAGGCCAACACAGAGAGAGUUGUUGGUACCUAGUAAGUUCGUGUAUCUUUGUCUUUAUCUUUCAUGAUUGCAAAGAAUAUACAAAGUAAACAUUCAAAAUUAUAACAUGAUGCAGUGGUUACAUGGCACCUGAAUACGCAAUGGAAGGAAGAUUCUCAGAAAAAUCAGAUGUUUACAGUUUCGGAGUUUUGUUACUGGAAAUUAUUAGUGGAAGGAGGAAUACUAGCUUUCACCAAGAUGACUGUGCCUUAAGCCUUCUAGCAUGUGUAAGUUCAUAUGAAAAUUAAGCUACUACUACUUUUUAUGAAAUGUCAACUUUUCAUAAUUCAAGUUUCCAUUGUGUUGUAAAAUGCGCUUGCUCUUCAGGCAUGGAAGUGUUGGAACGAAAAUAACAUUGUCGAAUUGGUUGACCCCAAGAUAAUAGACAUGCAGUUUGAAAGGGAAAUUCUGAGGUGUGCACAUGUUGGACUAUUAUGUGUUCAAGAAUAUGCAGAAGAUAGACCAAAUGUUUCGGUGGUUCUGUCUAUGCUCACUAGUGAAAUUUCUGAUUUGCCAAGUCCUAAACAACCUGCAUUUACAACAAGACCGAGCUGUUCCAAGAAGGAAUCUUCUAAAACUCAAGGCUCUGUGAACACAGUUAGCAUUACUAUUAUGGAAGGACGUUAAAACAACAACAACAACAACAACAAAAGUAAAAACCCCACUAGUGGGGGUCUGGAGAGGUAGAGUGUACGCAGACCUUACCUCUACCCCGGAGGGGGUAGAGAGGCUGUUUCCGGAAAACCCUCGGCUCAGAGACAAAAGAUCCGUAACAACGGAAACUAGACAAAUAACAACAACGAUAAAACAUUUUAACAUUUUAAGUUGGACAUGUAUUUUAUUCCUUCCCCUGUAAUUAGGGAUGUAUCUGAUUCUUUCCUGUAAUUAUUACUGCCUCUGAUUUAUUUGGUAAUCAUUCCACUCAAUAUGAUCUCAAUACAUUAAGAAUUCAAGAGAAAAGAGUAAACUGUGCAAGUCACUCAUGCAGUGGGUGUUUAAUCAUAAAUUCAGCACUAAGAACAUCAGAUUAAUAAAUUGUUUUAGUUCUUCACCCUCCACAAACACACACACAUAACGCACAGAGAGAAAGCAAUGCUAUUGUUUGAUGAUAGAAUCCAUAUCCAAGCAAGAAGAUAGCAAAGACUUCAAACUCAAAGUUGUUAAGCAGUAGCCUAAAAAGAUGUGUUUCCUGAAAUUAGAGAAGUUCAUCUACUACUAGAUUUGGAGUUACCUUUCUUUCAUGGGGAAAAUGACUUCCAUUACAGCUAUCUUAACGUUUAAUUAUAAUAUCAAUUGUUCCAGUCAACACUUAAAAACAUUAUUAUCAAUCUUUACCACUGAUAAUUUUUUAAUCAAAACUGUAUCUUAUUUGCUAAUAUUACUAUUAUUAAUGUUCAAAAGUGGCCACAUUAAAAGUAAGAGAAAAAUACUGACCUUUGGUCUUUCUCGGGAAAAAAAGCAUUUGUUCGUAUAGUUCAGCUUCUUAUGUCCGAUACUAAUUACCGCCGCAUCCAACUGAAAUAUAUAUAGCGUGGCUGGUCAGGAUCUGAAACCUCUGCAUUUUAAUCUCCUCAUUCAGGUUUUGAUUUUGACAUCUCGAGAGUAAAUUAUAAAUCUGCUUUCAUUAUUUUAACCAACUCAGCCACUGCUCAUAUUAGAUAAUUUUGCAAUCGAAUGGAUAGUAUAAUACGGGCAAAUGCCCAUAUGAGGCCCAUCAAUACCAAAGCUCCGAAUCUAAUAAAAUGAAGCGUUGCCUGGGGAAAGAUAUUCACAGAAUACUCCAGAAUACAGACAAAAAUGACAUUAUCAUAUGUUCUAACAAUACAAAAGCAAAAUUUUGUAACAAACAAAUUAGCAAAAGAAAAAUAAAAGUUUCAAAGUUAUAUCCUUAUCACUAUAAUUGGCUGAUAUGCAGGGGCGGAACUAGCACAUUUCCUGUGGGUUCGGACGUAAUUUUUGUUCAGAUUGUUUAUUUAUUUUAAGAAAUUUAUUAAAUAUGUAUAAAUUAUUAAUUUAGAAUUCUUUAACUUAAAAACUAGAAUUCUGAAUCCACAAUUUUUAUCAAUUAACACCAAACGACAUUUCCUUGCAAUUUGGAUAUCUAUAUAUAAUGGCUAACUAACGCAGGGAAAAUCAAGUAAAUUAGGAACCCAAUCAGAAAGUGACUUUGGAACAUGUUCAAGAACUCCGACUGAAACCAUUUUUUAUCUAGUGUCAGCUAAUCCUCCACCAUUUUUACCCAUAAAUUGGAAGGUUCAAUUUGUUUUUUUAAUUAAGAUUUGGUCAAAUACACAAUUCACAUUCAAUAAUCAGAAAUUAUGUUAAAAAGGAAAAUAAAUUAAACAAUUAUUGUAGAAUUAUUUUUGAACCGUUCCUCCUGUAUUCAAACAUAACUCUAUUAAAUAACUGGGAAGGAAGUUUCCUGCCUAUGUCAUAUAGUGGUGCAGAGAUUAAUUUGACAAUCUUAUUCUAGUGAAAUAUCCUUCUGCCCACUGCCUAUGUUCGAUCAACAUAUUAUUUAAUAUGACAUUUGAACUACCAUGUUCAAAUAAAGCGCUGACCCCAAAGUCGCAGCGUUACUUGUUGGUCAUGUCCGGCUUAAGAUUGAUAAGGAAAUAUCAUAUUUUUGACAUUUCUAAUUAGCAUGGAAAUUUCCCUUAUGUUGAUGUGGUCUCCUUAGGCAUCCUAAAUUAAUGAUCAAACAUUUUAGUAAUCACCAACUGUAUGAAAUCCAAUAUGACGGGUCAAGAGGCACUGAUUCAGACAUUUGUUGUUGACAAAUAAGAAAAGAAUUAUCGUGAAAUACUGCAACUAUAGGAAAAUGAAUUUCAGAUGACAACCCCAGUUCUCGUGCUUAUUGGCAGAAUUAAAGCUUGAUAAGUAAUGAAGCUAAGUUGUAAGAAGAUUUUUCUUUGGCACGCUGUUCUUGUUCUGUUUUUUCAUAUAGCAAAUGCUUUAUCAGACACCAUUAGUAUCAAUCAAUCUCUGAGUGGUUCAGAAACUUUAGUUUCCAAAAAUAACAUAUUCAUAUUGGGAUUUUUUAGUCCUGAGAAUUCGACGAAUCGUUAUGUUGGUAUUAUGUUUAAUACCCAAUCACAAAGUGUUGUAUGGGUAGCCAACAGAGACAGUCCUUUACAAGAUUCUAGUGGAAGAAUAACUAUAUCAGAAGGUGGAAAUCUUGUAAUCUUGAAUGCACAGAAGAAGAGUAUUUGGUCAUCCAAUAUUUCAACAGCUGUGAGAAAUACUACUGCCCAGCUCUCAGAUACUGGAAACUUAGUUUUGAAAGACAGCUCCAGUGGGAGAACUCUAUGGGAAAGUUUUAGUGAUCUUUCAGAUUCUUUCUUGCAGUACAUGAAGCUUGGCAGCGAUAAGAGUACUAACACGACGAAUCUGCUGAAAUCAUGGAGAAGUCCCUUAGAUCCUUCUGAUGGGAGUUUCUCAGCUGGAAUUCAACCUGAAACCAUUCCCCAAAUUUUCAUAUGGAAGAAUGGCUUACCUCAUUGGCGUAGCGGUCCAUGGAAUAAACAGAUUUUCAUUGGAGUACCAGAAAUGACUUCUUUCUAUUUCAGUGGAUUUGAGCUAGUAAAUGACAACAUGGGUACUGCCUACUUCUCCUAUACAUAUUCAGAUCAAGAUGAUGGGAUGCUCUACUUAGUCUUGAACUCAACUGGAUUUUUGCAGCAAAAAGAACUAUAUGAUAGGAAGAAUGACUGGACCGUAACAUGGGCAACCCCUGCAAAUGAGUGUGAUUUUUAUGGAAAGUGUGGGCCUUAUGGAAGCUGCGAUCCUAAUAGUUCACCAAUUUGCACUUGUUUGCAAGGGUUUAAACCAAAAAGUCAAGAAGAAUGGGGAAAAGGAAACUGGACCAAUGGAUGCAUCAGAAAGACUGCAUUAGAGAAUGAAAGAAACAACUCCAACAUUGAGCAAGGUAAGCAAGAUUGGUUUUUGAGGCUGCAGUCAAUGAAAGUUCCGGAUUCCGCUAUUUGGGUAUCUUUGGAUGAAGAAGAUUGUGAAAGUGGUUGCUUGAGGAAUUUCUCCUGCAUAGCUUAUUCAUACUACAUAGGCAUAGGAUGCAUGCAUUGGGAAGGAAUCUUACUUGAUGUUCAGAAAUUCUCCACGGGCGGGGCAGAUUUAUUCAUUCGUCUUUCGUACACUGAGCUUGGUAAUACCUUAUUCUUUUCAGAACUAUAAUAUAAGCUAGUACAAAACUCUGCUUGCCCAAAACGUAGGUCUGAUGUAAGCUUAUUUCGGAAUGCAGAUCAAAAGAAAGAUAUUAAAGUAGCCAUUGGGAUCGUAGUACCAGUAGGCUCAAUAGUUCUUGCCAUUUUUGGAUACUUUUCAUGUAAAUAUUUGGCUAAGCACAGAGGUAACAAUCUAAUCUGUAACAUUAGAAAAUGUCCAGUAGCUUUAAUUAUUCAUUAUCAGUUUAUCUCUAAUGUGCUUUUGAAUCAGCAAGGAAGAAAAAGAGUGAGCUCUUAUUAAGAGAAUCAUUGCCAAACUUCUACAAGGAAAGCAUGGUUACAGAUGACAUCAACCAAGCUAAAUUUGAGGAGCUGCCGUUAUACAACUUUGACAUGCUAGCAAAUGCAACUGACAACUUUCACCUCUCUAGCAAGCUUGGGCACGGUGGUUUCGGUACAGUUUACAAAGUAAUGUUCUCUGUGAUUGAGUCAUUUAUUAUGUUUUUCCAGAAUAGAAAUUGACGGAAUAUGAUAUAACUACAGGGACAAUUGCCAGAGGGACAAGAAAUUGCUGUGAAAAGGCUUUCACAGUCUUCUGGCCAGGGGCUAGAGGAGUUUAUGAAUGAGGUGGUGGUGAUUUCCAAACUUCAACACCGUAAUCUUGUUAGACUCCUUGGCUGCUGCAUAGAAAGAGGGGAGAAGAUGCUGGUUUAUGAAUUCAUGCCAAAAAGAAGCUUGGAUGCCUAUAUCUUUGGUUAGUUGAUUACCAUUACUUUUCUUUUAUGUUACAUACUGUCUAGCUAAAAGGGAAAUUGUUUGAAAUAUUUUCACUUGUAUGUUUUUCAAUAUACUUACAGGUUCACACCUGGAAGCAGAAGACUUCCUUGAUUGGAGUAAACGUGCAAUCAUCAUUGAGGGAAUUGGUCGAGGCCUCCUUUACCUUCACAGGGAUUCAAGACUAAGGAUUAUCCACAGGGAUUUGAAGGCAAGCAACAUUUUGUUGGAUGAAUACCUGAACCCCAAAAUUUCAGAUUUUGGCAUGGCAAGGAUUUUUUCAGGCAACCAAGAUCAGGCC
rnacentral:lncRNA from 1 species